UACGUAGGUCCCGAGCGUUGUCCGGAUUUAUUGGGCGUAAAGCGAGCGCAGGUGGUUUAUUAAGUCUGGUGUAAAAGGCAGUGGCUCAACCAUUGUAUGCAUUGGAAACUGGUAGACUUGAGUACAGGAGAGGAGAGUGGAAUUCCAUGUGUAGCGGUGAAAUGCGUAGAUAUAUGGAGGAACACCGGUGGCGAAAGCGGCUCUCUGGCCUGUAACUGACACUGAGGCUCGAAAGCGUGGGGAGCAAACAGG
rnacentral:rRNA from 1 species